UGGGUAAGGCGAUCAUGACACUGAAUUCAGU
rnacentral:piRNA from 1 species